rnacentral:rRNA from 1 species
UACGUAGGGUGCAAGCGUUGUCCGGAAUUAUUGGGCGUAAAGAGCUCGUAGGCGGUCUGUCACGUCUGCUGUGAAAACUCGGGGCUUAACCCCGGGCCUGCAGUGGGUACGGGCAGACUAGAGUGCGGUAGGGGAGACUGGAAUUCCUGGUGUAGCGGUGAAAUGCGCAGAUAUCAGGAGGAACACCGGUGGCGAAGGCGGGUCUCUGGGCCGUAACUGACGCUGGAGGAGCGAAAGCGUGGGGAGCGAACGGG